GAUGAACGCUGGCGGCGUGCCUAAUACAUGCAAGUCGAGCGAACAGACGAGGAGCUUGCUCCUCUGACGUUAGCGGCGGACGGGUGAGUACCACGUGGAUAACCUACCUAUAAGACUGGGAUAACUUCGGGAAACCGGAGCUAAUACCGGAUAAUAUAUUGAACCGCAUGGUUCAAUAGUGAAAGACGGUUUUGCUGUCACUUAUAGAUGGAUCCGCGCCGCAUUAGCUAGUUGGUAAGGUAACGGCUUACCAAGGCGACGAUGCGUAGCCGACCUGAGAGGGUGAUCGGCCACACUGGAACUGAGACACGGUCCAGACUCCUACGGGAGGCAGCAGUAGGGAAUCUUCCGCAAUGGGCGAAAGCCUGACGGAGCAACGCCGCGUGAGUGAUGAAGGUCUUCGGAUCGUAAAACUCUGUUAUUAGGGAAGAACAAAUGUGUAAGUAACUAUGCACGUCUUGACGGUACCUAAUCAGAAAGCCACGGCUAACUACGUG
rnacentral:rRNA from 1 species